GUCUUUAACACGACUGAGGUCUUUUCUAACGGUAGCUUUAAAAACAGUCUGUUGUAGACAGCUUCAGAAAUCACAGACAAAGCUGAGCCUGUAUCCAGCUCCAUUUUCAGUUUUACACCAGACACAUUUGUUGUUAUCCAUAUUAUUUUCCUGUCUAUUUCAGUCAUGCUAUGCAGUUCUAGGCAUGACAGAUCAUCUUCGUCAGAGCCUGUGUUCUCUGAUUUGUUUUCACAUUCAGACACUUUGUGCACUUGUUUAGUUUUGUAUUUGAAACCUUUGUAUUUGAAAGGUUUUCCAUGUUGGUUGUGCUUUUUGUCUGUUUCGCACACUCUGUCUACGUGGCCUUGUCUGUGACGCCUUCUACAGACUUUUUCCUUGAACCAACAAUCAUUUGCAUCAUGAGAGGAUUUACCACAUCUAUAGUAUUUCUGCCUUUUUGCACCAUUUAGGGACAUUUUGUGCAUUUCAUUUUCUACAGCCUUCUUUUGUAGCCCAGAUGCAUCCGUGGCUGCUGUUUCCAUUGAAAUGGCAAUGGCCUGAUAUUCUCAGAAAUAUUUUAAUUAUUUUGAUUUAAUUUGAUUGAUUUAGCCUAAGCCCCAGUAUCAGAGUCCUGAUAUUGGAUUCAUAUAGAGAAUUUAAACAGGUGAUUGGCUCAUCCUUUAAAAAUCUCUUCUGGUUUGCAGCAGAAAAUGUUGUGAUUUACAAGCAGGGAAUAUUAAUAAUGCAGUACUUCUAUUAUUAACUGUAAAUAUUAUGUUUACAGGCUGUGAGCUGGUGAAGAAAGGGGUAGAGGACGUGACUGUGUUCACAGGAGAGUCUGUAGUUCUGCCCUGCGUCUGCACUGACCUACAGGACAAACCAAAGUCUGUAAAAUGGCAGUUUAAUAGAAUUGGUCACUUUCAGGAAAUUUACCCUGAACAGACUGGACGUCACAGAAACAGAGUCAAACUGGUCAGUAACAACGCUCCAGGAAACCUCUCUCUACUCAUAUCAGACCUGACUGAAGAGGACCAGGGACGCUACAGAUGUUCUGUACAGGCUGAUAGCAGAGAUUUCAGAUUAUCUGUUAAAGUAGGAAGAAGAGAAACUUCAACACACUCGAGGAAAACAGACACAACACCUCCAUCAGAACCGCCUCAGAGUAAAACAACAAACUCUCCACCUGCAUCAUCCUCAACAACACUGGAACAAGAUAAACAGCAAACACACAGCAGCCUCCCUCUAGGUGCCAAAACUUUUUAUCAGCAAUGAAAAUACACAUCUGUAUUAUUACAUUUAUUCAUUUUGGUGUGUUUUAUUACACAGUUUUUGGCCUUCUGGCAGUUUUACUGUUGGUGAUACCCGGUGUAGUGGCAUUUAUUUGUUGGAGACGCAAAGGAGGAAGAUGUGGAGAGAACGUGAUUACUGAAGGACGUCCGGACUGUAAGAGAAAGCAGAAGGAUCAGAUUGGGUCUGAUGUCACUGUAUUUACUACUGUUAUUUACACUUACUACUCUACUGACCCACAUUAACACAGCCGGAGCAGCAGAUCAUCACUGGACAGAAAACUGAAUAUAGCAGCAUUAUAACAAACUAAUCCAGAGUAAAUAUAGACACAUGCUCAGAUAUUAUAGAAUAAUCCUGAAAACAUAUAUUAAAUACACUCUAUGGCCAGCACGGGAUUCACAGUGUUGACUUUUUGAGAUUUUUAUACAUUUUACAAUUAAAUAUCAGAUUCAGGCAUAAACGUGUUACAUUUACUUAUGUUAGCUAAGUGUGUUGUUCCGCAUUCAUUGUUUAUCAUUAAUUGCUGAUGGAUAAUCUCGCUAAUUAUAUUUUGAGUGUACGUGUCAUUUUAUAUCUUAUGUGUACCAUACUUAUAUCAGGUUAAGAAAUGAAAGCUCUAGAAGGCUGUUGUCAUCAUGCUGUUUUGUGUAAGAAGACUGCUAUAGAAGUUCUUGUUUGUGACUUUUAAUAACUUUGGGUAAAAAUAAAAGAAGGAGGAUUGUUGAAUCUGACUGGACUGAAUGUGUUUCUAAUCUAGCUUUUGUAAAAUUUUCAUAAUAGUCCUUAUAGAUA